rnacentral:rRNA from 1 species
UACGUAGGUGGCAAGCGUUGUCCGGAUUUAUUGGGCGUAAAGCGAGUGCAGGCGGUUUUAUAAGUCUGAUGUGAAAGCCCUCGGCUCAACCGAGGAAUUGCAUCAGAAACUGUAAGACUUGAGUGCAGAAGAGGAGAGUGGAACUCCAUGUGUAGCGGUGGAAUGCGUAGAUAUAUGGAAGAACACCAGUGGCGAAGGCGGCUCUCUGGUCUGUAACUGACGCUGAGGCUCGAAAGCAUGGGUAGCGAACAGG